GACGAACGCUGGCGGCGUGCUUAACACAUGCAAGUCGAACGAAAAGAGGGAAAGAGCUUGCUCUUUCCGGAAUUGAGUGGCAAACGGGUGAGUAACACGUAAACAACCUGCCUUCAGGAUGGGGACAACAGACGGAAACGACUGCUAAUACCGAAUAAGUUCCAAGGGCCGCAUGGCCCAUGGAAGAAAAGGUGGCCUCUACCUGUAAGCUAUCGCCUGAAGAGGGGUUUGCGUCUGAUUAGCUGGUUGGAGGGGUAACGGCCCACCAAGGCGACGAUCAGUAGCCGGUCUGAGAGGAUGAACGGCCACACUGGAACUGAGACACGGUCCAGACUCCUAGGGGAGGCAGCAGUGGGGAAUCUUCCGCAAUGGGCGAAAGCCUGACGGAGCAACGCCGCGUGAGUGAUGACGGCCUUCGGGUUGUAAAACUCUGUGAUCCGGGACGAAAAGGCAGAGUGCGAAGAACAAACUGCAUUGACGGUACCGGAAAAGCAAGCCACGGCUAACUACGUG
rnacentral:rRNA from 1 species